rnacentral:tRNA from 1 species
GCCCAGGUAGCUCAGUGGUAGAGCACCUCCUUGGUAAGGAGGAGGUCGUGAGUUCAAAUCUCAUCCUGGGCUCCA